UCUUGCACUCCGCUGACGACCGGCGCACGGGUGCGCACCGCGUAUGGAACCUACCUUUUACAGGGGAAUAGCCCAGGGAAACUUGGAUUAAUGCCCCGUAGUACCGUUUUUUGGCAUCAUUGAACGGUUAAAGUCUUCGGGCGGUAAAAGAUGGCCAUGCGUCCCAUUAGCUAGAUGGUAAGGUAACGGCUUACCAUGGCUACGAUGGGUAGGGGCCCUGAGAGGGGGAUCCCCCACACUGGUACUGAGACACGGACCAGACUCCUACGGGAGGCAGCAGUGAGGAAUAUUGGACAAUGGGCGCAGGCCUGAUCCAGCCAUGCCGCGUGCAGGAAGAAUGCCCUAUGGGUAGUAAACUGCUUUUAUACGGGAAGAAAAAGGGGCACGUGUGCCCCACUGACGGUACCGUAAGAAUAAGGACCGGCUAACUCCGUGCCAGCAGCCGCGGUAAUACGGAGGGUCCGAGCGUUAUCCGGAAUUAUUGGGUUUAAAGGGUCCGUAGGCGGGCCGAUAAGUCAGGGGUGAAAGUCUGCCGCUCAACGGUAGAACUGCCUUUGAUACUGUCGGUCUUGAGUUAUAGUGAAGUUGCCGGAAUAUGUAGUGUAGCGUGAAAUGCAUAGAUAUUACAUAGAACACCGAUUGCGAAGGCAGGUGACUAACUAUAUACUGACGCUGAUGGACGAAAGCGUGGGGAGCGAACAGGAUUAGAUACCCUGGUAGUCCACGCCGUAAACGAUGGAUACUAGCUGUCCGAGGCCUUGAGUCUUGGGCGGCCAAGCGAAAGUGAUAAGUAUCCCACCUGGGGAGUACGUUCGCAAGAAUGAAACUCAAAGGAAUUGACGGGGGCCCGCACAAGCGGUGGAGCAUGUGGUUUAAUUCGAUGAUACGCGAGGAACCUUACCAGGGCUUAAAUGCAUAUUGACAGGGGUAGAGAUACCUUUUCCUUCGGGCAAUUUGCAAGGUGCUGCAUGGUUGUCGUCAGCUCGUGCCGUGAGGUGUCAGGUUAAGUCCUAUAACGAGCGCAACCCCUACCGUUAGUUGCCAGCAUGUCAUGAUGGGGACUCUAACGGGACUGCCGGUGCAAACCGUGAGGAAGGUGGGGAUGACGUCAAAUCAUCACGGCCCUUACGUCCUGGGCCACACACGUGCUACAAUGGCAGGUACAGAGAGCAGCCACGUCGCAAGGCGGAGCGAAUCUAUAAAACCUGUCACAGUUCGGAUCGGGGUCUGCAACUCGACCCCGUGAAGCUGGAAUCGCUAGUAAUCGGAUAUCAGCCAUGAUCCGGUGAAUA
rnacentral:rRNA from 1 species